rnacentral:rRNA from 1 species
GACAGAGGGUGCAAACGUUGUUCGGAAUUACUGGGCGUAAAGCGAGUGUAGGCGGCUUUGCAAGUCGGAUGUGAAAGCCCCGGGCUCAACCCGGGAAGUGCACUCGAUACUGCAGGGCUUGAGUGUCGGAGAGGUUGGUGGAAUUCUCGGUGUAGAGGUGAAAUUCGUAGAUAUCGAGAGGAACACCGGCGGCGAAGGCGGCCAACUGGACGACUACUGACGCUGAGACUCGAAAGCGUGGGGAGCAAACAGG